GAUUAUCGUGUUACACUUGUUUUUAUUAACUAUACAUGACUAUGACCUCUUUAAUAUGUAACUGCAAACAUAUUUUGUAAUUUAUCUUUGUAAAAAAUAAUGAAAUUAUAUUUUCAUUUUAAAUUUCAGUUUUAUCAAAUGUUUCAAAAGCAACCAACAGUACAAACUUAAAUUCAACAGUUUGAACACUAUGAAAAUUAAAUUAAAUAAAAUUAGAAUAAUAUAAAAUGGUACAAAAGUAAGUGUUACUUUCGUCCCGACAGGAUCUCCUCACAUUUAAACCCGAUUUACUUUUAUUUUGAAAAACUCUUGAGAAGUCAAACUUCAGGAUGUGUUAGAGCACUAAAUAACCUGAAGAUUGAUGAAACGAGAAACACAACGCGUUAUAAGAAAACAAUGACCGCUUUUGGAAUUUACUUAUGGAGUGCGUUUACAUGCACAGUCUUAUGCCGAUUAUGCUUAAUAAACUGAUAACACGUGGGGUCAUGUAAACGCGUAAAACGGUUUUCUUUAAUCGGGGAAAGGCCAUAAAUCGGCACAGGUAGUUUUUUGCCCAUUACGUCGAUUCCGUGUGGCAUGUAAACACCUUAACCGGCUUUCUCACGGUUUUGUCCAUGUGCGCAUGUCUCCGCGUAUGAAAGAUAAACGUCACACGCGGAAGUAAGCGCAAAGUAACGCAUAAAAGUCUCCGCUCGACUAAAGCAGUUGGCAGAGAAACUGUUAAAAUAGCAGCUCAUGUUACAUUUACAGGUUCUGCAGACACGAGAAGAGAUACAACAGUACAGCUUAAGACAGAUAUGCCGUCGAGUUUUUGAACGACUAUUGUGUACUAUAGGUGGUGACGUCACUGCCUGCGAGAAAACUGAUAAUUCUUCAAGUCCCAUGUAAACGCAGUUGUCUGCAUAGGCGGCUUAUUGAUUUGCAUGUAAACGCAUGAAAACAGCUUUCUAUAAUAAGCAGAUUUUUGAUAGUUAUCCGCUUAUGCUGUGCAUGUAAACGUACUCAUGGUUGAAAACACCUUUCUGGAUCUACACCCGGAAAAUGGUUUCCGGAAGAAGAUGCAGAAGAAGGGGAAAAAAAGAACAAUGAAAUCCUCCUUGCAUGGACCAGGUCUGUCAUAAAUCAUAUGUGGUUUUCCUGUGUAACCAGUAAGGGGGACGUUGAGGAGAAGCACGGUUCAACCAAAUGUUCUGCAAGAGAUCCAAGCAGUGGGUCUUGAAGAAAAUCUUCAUACCACACACCACACAGUUUGUAGACGAACUCAUCCAGAAGGCCAUUGACAAGACUCAAUCCAAACAUUGUGUUCAAGGUGCCAACCUCCUUACUUGCCCUGACACAGCCUGCGCUGCCACCCAACAUUGCACCAGUGCCUAAACCAUCAAAGGAGGCUGUCACGACUUCUUUCAAAAGUCACUUCUGAAACUGACACUUUCUAAUAAUAAUAAUAAUCACCUCUUCCGUGAGUCCUAUUGCUGUGUCUAAUCAGAUUCUGCCAUCACUCUGUCUUUAUAUUUAUAUUAGUAUAUACUGUGUGUAUAUAUACACACAUAAUUAUUAUUAUUAUUAUUAAUUGCUUUGUUUUUAUUUUGUGCGGGACAUUUUUAGAUGUAAAUUAUGUCCUUGUUUAUUUUAAUGUGUGCUUUUCACUGGUGGCACAAUAUUUUUCCUUUGUGAACAAUAAAAAAUAAAUUUCUUCAUCUAACCCUGUCUUUUGUACACCAAAGUUAUACAUUAUAGACUUGUGGAGGUGGAA